rnacentral:rRNA from 1 species
CCUACGGGCGGCAGCAGUGAGGAAUAUUGGUCAAUGGACGCAAGUCUGAACCAGCCAUGCCGCGUGAAGGAAGACGGCUCUAUGAGUUGUAAACUGCUUUUGUACGAGGGUAAACGCAGAUACGCGUAUCUGUCUGAAAGUAUCGUACGAAUAAGGAUCGGCUAACUCCGUGCCAGCAGCCGCGGUAAUACGGAGGAUUCAAGCGUUAUCCGGAUUUAUUGGGUUUAAAGGGUGCGUAGGCGGAACAUUAAGUCAGCGGUAAAAUCGGGGGGCUCAACCCCUUUAAGCCGUUGAUACUGGUGGUCUUGAGUGGGCUAGAAGUAUGCGGAAUGCGUGGUGUAGCGGUGAAAUGCUUAGAUAUCACGCAGAACUCCGAUUGCGAAGGCAGCAUACCGGCGCCCGACUGACGCUGAGGCACGAAAGCGUGGGGAUCGAACAGGAUUAGAUACCCCAGUAGUC